UGCAAGUCGAGUGCGCGUUCCGUAGCAAUGCGGGAUGGCGCACGGCGCACGGGUGCGUAACACGUGGGUAAUCUGCCCUCCGAUGGGGAAUAACCCCGCGAAAGCGGGGCUAAUUCCGCAUAACAUUCCGGGAACUCCGGUUUCUGGAUUCAAAGGCGCAAGUCGUCGGAGGUGGAGCCCGCGCACGAUUAGCUAGUUGGUUGGGUAACGGCCUACCAAGGCUAUGAUCGUUAGCUGGUCUGAGAGGAUGGCCAGCCACACUGGAACUGAGACACGGUCCAGACUCCUACGGGAGGCAGCAGUGGGGAAUCUUGCACAAUGGGCGAAAGCCUGAUGCAGCGACGCCGCGUGGGGGAUGAAGCUUCUCGGAGUGUAAACCCCUUUCGACCGGGACGAAGGCCCGCAAGGGAGUGACGGUACCGGUAUAAGAAGCCCCGGCUAACUACGUGCCAGCAGCCGCGGUAAGACGUAGGGGGCCAGCGUUGCUCGGAAUUACUGGGUGUAAAGGGUUCGUAGGCGGUGUGGCAAGUCGGGAGUGAAAUUUCUGGGCUUAACUCAGAGACUGCUUCCGAAACUGCUGUGCUGGAGUGUGGGAGAGGCGCGUGGAAUUGCAGGUGUAGCGGUGAAAUGCGUAGAUAUCUGCAGGAACACCCGUGGCGAAAGCGGCGCGCUGGACCACUACUGACGCUGAGGAACGAAAGCUAGGGGAGCAAACAGGAUUAGAUACCCUGUAGUCCUAGCCCUAAACGAUCAGGACUUGGGGUGCCACCCGUUCGGGUGUCGUCCCGGAGCUAACGCGUUAAGUCCUGCACCUGGGGAGUACGGUCGCAAGACUGAAACUCAAGGAAUUGACGGGGGCCCGCACAAGCGGUG
rnacentral:rRNA from 1 species